UACGUAGGGAGCAAGCGUUGUUCGGAUUUACUGGGCGUAAAGGGCGCGUAGGCGGCAAAUUAAGUCAGCUGUGAAAUCUCCGAGCUUAACUCGGAACGGUCAGCUGAUACUGAUCUGCUAGAGUGCGGAAGGGGCAAUCGGAAUUCUUGGUGUAGCGGUGAAAUGCGUAGAUAUCAAGAGGAACACCUGAGGUGAAGACGGGUUGCUGGGCCGACACUGACGCUGAGUGCGCGAAAGCCAGGGGAGCAAGCGGG
rnacentral:rRNA from 1 species